CUCGUAGGUGGUUUGUCGCGUCGUCUGUGAAAUUCCGGGGCUUAACUCCGGGCGUGCAGGCGAUACGGGCUAACUUGAGUGCUGUAGGGGAGACUGGAAUUCCUGGUGUAGCGGUGAAAUGCGCAGAUAUCAGGAGGAACACCGAUGGCGAAGGCAGGUCUCUGGGCAGUUACUGACGCUGAGGAGCGAAAGCAUGGGUAGCGAACAGGAUUAGAUUCCCUAGA
rnacentral:rRNA from 1 species